rnacentral:hammerhead_ribozyme from 1 species
AUCUAGCUAACGAGACCCAAAUAGGACGAAAUGCGCGUCCUGGAC